UCCCUGGUGGCUCAGAUGGUAAAGAUUCCACCUGCAAUGUGGGAGACCUGGGUUCAAUCCCUGGCCUGGGAA
rfam:Ovis aries breed Texel chromosome 1, whole genome shotgun sequence.